rnacentral:rRNA from 1 species
AUUGCCCCAGUAACGGCGAGUGAAGCGGCAACAGCUCAAAUUUGAAAUCUGGCCCCUCGGGCCCGAGUUGUAAUUUGUAGAGGAUGCUUUUGGUGAGGUGCCGCCCGAGUUCCCUGGAACGGGACGCCAUAGAGGGUGAGAGCCCCGUCUGGCUGGCCGCCGAGCCUCUGUAAAGCUCCUUCGACGAGUCGAGUAGUUUGGGAAUGCUGCUCUAAAUGGGAGGUAUAUGUCUUCUAAAGCUAAAUAUUGGCCAGAGACCGAUAGCGCACAAGUAGAGUGAUCGAAAGAUGAAAAGCACUUUGAAAAGAGGGUUAAAUAGUACGUGAAAUUGUUGAAAGGGAAGCGCUCAUGACCAGACUUGGGCUUGGCGAAUCAUCCGGCGUUCUCGCCGGUGCACUUUGCCUCGUCCAGGCCAGCAUCAGUUCGCCGCGGGGGACAAAGGCUUCGGGAACGUGGCUCCUCCGGGAGUGUUAUAGCCCGUUGCGUAAUACCCUGCGGUGGACUGAGGUCCGCGCAUCUGCAAGGAUGCUGGCGUAAUGGUCAUCAGCGACCCGUCUUGAAACACGGACCAAGGAGUCGUCUUCGUAUGCGAGUGUUCGGGUGUCAAACCCCUACGCGUAAUGAAAGUGAACGCAGGUGAGAGCUUCGGCGCAUCAUCGACCGAUCCUGAUGUUCUCGGAUGGAUUUGAGUAAGAGCAUACGGGGCCGGACCCGAAAGAAGGUGAACUAUGCCUGUAUAGGGUGAAGCCAGAGGAAACUCUGGUGGAGGCUCGCAGCGGUUCUGACGUGCAAAUCGAUCGUCAAAUAUGGGCAUGGGGGCGAAAGACUAAUCGAACCUUCUAGUAGCUGGUUUCCGCCGAAGUUUCCCUCAGGAUAGCAGUGUUGAACUCAGUUUUAUGAGGUAAAGCGAAUGAUUAGGGACCCGGGGGCGCUAUUUAGCCUUCAUCCAUUCUCAAACUUUAAAUAUGUAAGAAGCCCUUGUUACUUUAUUGAACGUGGGCAUUCGAAUGUAUCAACACUAGUGGGCCAUUUUUGGUAAGCAGAACUGGCGAUGCGGGAUGAACCGAACGCGAGGUUAAGGUGCCAGAGUAGACGCUCAUCAGACACCACAAAAGGCGUUAGUACAUCUUGACAGCAGGACGGUGGCCAUGGAAGUCGGAAUCCGCUAAGGACUGUGUAACAACUCACCUGCCGAAUGUACUAGCCCUGAAAAUGGAUGGCGCUCAAGCGUCUCACCCAUACCUCGCCCUCAGGGUAGAAACGAUGCCCUGAGGAGUAGGCGGACGUGGAGGUCGUGACGAAG